rnacentral:tRNA from 1 species
GGCGGCAUUACCGAGUGGUAAGGUAGGGGACUGCAAAUCCCUGUACCCCAGUUCGAAUCUGGGUGUCGCCU